GACGAACGCUGGCGGCGUGCCUAAUACAUGCAAGUAGAACGCUGAAGGAGGAGCUUGCUUCUCUGGAUGUGUUGCGAACGGGUGAGUAACGCGUAGGUAACCUGCCUGGUAGCGGGGGAUAACUAUUGGAAACGAUAGCUAAUACCGCAUAAGAGUAGAUGUUGCAUGACAUUUGCUUAAAAGGUGCAAUUGCAUCACUACCAGAGGGACCUGCGUUGUAUUAGCUAGUUGGUGGGGUAACGGCUUACCAAGGCGACGAUACAUAGCCGACCUGAGAGGGUGAUCGGCCACACUGGGACUGAGACACGGCCCAGACUCCUACGGGAGGCAGCAGUAGGGAAUCUUCGGCAAUGGACGGAAGUCUGACCGAGCAACGCCGCGUGAGUGAAGAAGGGUUUCGGAUCGUAAAGCUCUGUUGUAAGAGAAGAACGAGUGUGAGAGUGGAAAGUUCACACUGUGACGGUAUCUUACCAGAAAGGGACGGCUAACUACGUG
rnacentral:rRNA from 1 species